GCUGGGCGUGGUAGCGCGUGCCUGUAAUCCCAGCUACUCGGGAGGCUGAGGUAGGAGAAUUGCUUGAGCCCAGGAGACAGAGGUUGCAGUGAGCUGAGUUUGCACCACUGCACUCCAGCCUGGGUGACAGAGCGAGACUCCAUCUCAA
rfam:Homo sapiens chromosome 1, GRCh38 reference primary assembly.